CACGUAGGCGGUAGGACAAGUUAGAUGUGAAAUCCCAGGGCUUAACCUUGGAACUGCAUCUAAAACUGUUUUACUAGAGUUCACUAGAGGGAAGCGGAAUUUCCGGUGUAGCGGUGAAAUGCGUAGAUAUCGGAAGGAACAUCAGUGGCGAAGGCGGCUUCCUGGAGUUGAACUGACGCUAAGGUGCGAGAGCGUGGGGAGCGAACA
rnacentral:rRNA from 1 species